rnacentral:piRNA from 1 species
UCCAUAGUAUGGAUGCCUACGAAGUUACAA